rnacentral:tRNA from 1 species
GGAUCGUUAGCUCAGCAGCGAGAGCAUGCCGGCUCACAACCGGGUUGUCCAGGGUGCAAAUCCCUGACGGUCCA